CAUCAAUGUUCGUUGAUGAACUGAAGCAUGGAAACAUUUCACUGAAGAUCUCCAAAGUAAAACCGGCUGAUGCAGGGAGAUACAGAUGCUUUACUAUUGAGCUAAAUAAAGACACUUUCAUGGAUCUUGUUGUAGUUUCAGGUGCUGUUCCUCAACCUGUCAUCACUUUAGCAGGAGUUGAUGGAAAGGGAGGAGUGGAGUUACAGUGUGAGUCUGCAGGCUGGUAUCCAGAGCCUGAGGUGUUGUGGCUGGACGGUGAUGGAAACCUCCUCUCUGCUGGACCUACAGAGACAGUCAGAGGUCCUGAUGACCUCUAUACUGUCAGCAGCAGAGUGACUGUGGAGAAGAAACACAGCAACAAGUUCACCUGCAGA